AGUAAAGACACAAGCUUGGGGAGCACUGUUCCAACCAAUGAUAAAACACCAUCCAACCUUGACAAGUGGCAGCAGAGCACUGUAGAAGAUUGCUCCAGCCCAGGACAGCUAUUGGACAGAAGAUCACUUACCAGCAAAGACCAACUCCAUUUAACAUUUACUUUCAGCAUUAGAAUUUGUUCAUAAAUUGUUAAUUUUAUAGGAAAAUAAUUAUUAAAGGGAUAGUUCACCCAAAAAUUUUCAAUAAUUACUCGUCUCAUUUUGUUCCAAACUCAUAAAACCUUCGUUCAUCUUUAGAACACAAACUAAGAUAUUUUUGAUGAAAUCUGAGAGCUUUCUGACCCUCCAUAGACAGCAAGGGUACUACCACGAUCAUUGCCCAGGAAGGUAGUAAGGUCAUUGUUAAAAUAGUCCAUGUGACAUCAGUGGUUCAACCGUAAUUUUAUGAAGCUACGAGAAUACUUUUUGUGCACAAGAAAAACAAUUCUCUUCCAUUUCAUUCUCUGCUGCACAUACAUGAGAGUUACCACGAUGCAUAUAAGGUCUUACGGGUUUGGAACAACAUUAGGGUGAGUAAUUAAUGAUAGAAUUUUCAUUUUUGUGUGAACUAUCCCUUUAAUACUACCUCUGCAAAGCUCAUAAGCGGUGAACUUUGAUAUAAAAUUUAUAAUUCUUGAUCUUAGAAUUGUGAUUGAGAUUACUGUGAAAUAAUGAACAGAUGUAGUGUGUAGCAAACAGUAUUUACAAAUGGUAAUUUAACUGUUAAUUGUUUUAUUAUGUGUUUUUUUAUGAAUUAUUAUUGAAAUUUGACAACAUAACUCAAAGCAGACAAUUCAUGAUUUUGUAUGAAUGUUUUUUUCUGCAUAAAAAAAACAAGCAGAGAAGUAUAAUUCCAAACUGAUUUUAUUUAAAAACAAAUCUGUCGGUGUGAGAUAUAGUCAAUAUUUAAAAAUUUUUAUAUUUUGACAUUUGGCAAAAUCUAUGAAUUGCAAAAAGGUCAAACAAAAUGCUU